GUGGGGAAUAUUGGACAAUGGGGGGAACCCUGAUCCAGCCAUGCCGCGUGUGUGAAGAAGGCCUUUUGGUUGUAAAGCACUUUAAGCGAGGAGGAGGCUACCGAGAUUAAUACUCUUGGAUAGUGGACGUUACUCGCAGAAUAAGCACCGGCUAACUCCGUGCCAGCAGCCGCGGUAAUACAGAGGGUGCAAGCGUUAAUCGGAUUUACUGGGCGUAAAGCGCGCGUAGGUGGCCAAUUAAGUCAAAUGUGAAAUCCCCGAGCUUAACUUGGGAAUUGCAUUCGAUACUGGUUGGCUAGAGUAUGGGAGAGGAUGGUAGAAUUCCAGGUGUAGCGGUGAAAUGCGUAGAGAUCUGGAGGAAUACCGAUGGCGAAGGCAGCCAUCUGGCCUAAUACUGACACUGAGGUGCGAAAGCAUGGGGAGCAAACAGGAUUAGAAACCCCAGUAGUCC
rnacentral:rRNA from 1 species